rnacentral:rRNA from 1 species
UGGUUAUAAACCGGAGGAAGGCGGGGAUGAAGUCAAGUCAGCAUGCCCCUUACGUCCCGGGCUACAAGCGUACUACAAUGGAUGAGACAAAGAGAAGCAAUCCUGCGAAGGGGAGCAAACCUCAAAAACUCAUUCUCAGUUCGGAUUGCAGACUGCAACUCGUCUGCAUGAAGGCGGAUUCGCUAGUAAUCGUUGGUCAGCUAUACAACGGUGAAUACGUUCUC